UUGAAUUGCAUUGGGAAAGACUGCGCACAGCCACGAGCAAGAACUGACUCUUGAACAAGACAAUCGAUAUGGCUUUACGAAAACUGAUUUUCCGCGUCUAUGCAUUGAACAGCACACCUCAUUCUGUAAAGGUUUUGAAUACUCAUAUGUCUGCCUUUAGUGUAUUGAGUCCUAACGCCGACUUGAGAGUAAAACAUGACCGAUACAACCUCUGCUUUUCUAUCAACCUGGACGGCGAAGGACAUCAGGAUAGCGCGCACGAGCAAGAAGGAGGUAGAUCUACUGUCAACUUAUGUACCCGAGUCUUUCAGGGGCAAAGGUGUUGCAGCUCUUCUGUCAAAGGCUGCCAUGGAUUUUCUGGUGGAAGAAAACCUCAAGGCCCAUAUAUCUUGUUGUUAUAUUAAGAAAUAUGUUGAGGAAAGCCC